AAGAUUUUAAGUUAAAAAAACUAUUUAUCUUCAAAAUAAAAAUUAUUUAUUAUAAAUCUUA
rnacentral:tRNA from 1 species